GUGUGUCUAGAAAUUAGGGGUGGGUGAUUAUUGCUGUGCUGUUGUGGAACUCCUUUCGGACUGGGUGUGCAUAGCAAAUUUCAUAUUUCUGGUUCAUUAACUUGUUGUGGUGGGCUCCAUCUACAUGUCCAGGAUUUGUCUCCAUGCGACACGUUGGUUACUCUGCCCCGCACGCUUCCUCCCACCGCUCAGACUAAUCUCAUUAUCCCUUCUCCUCUCUCUAAAUCACCAUGGGACCAGGUCAAUUUUUUUUAUCACGGGACACGGGAGAGCAAUGGGGAGGAGGCGUAUCCCGGGAGGCUCCGUCUGGUCGCCGCCGGGGAGGAACUCCGAUAGGACACCGUCGACUCCACCACGCCAUCGCUGAGGAGCUCGAGGAGGAGGCGCGGCGCGGGGAAGGCUACACAUGGCCACCGUCGACUCCACCACGCUGUGAAAAGCAGCUACGAUGGAGCCCGACCGCCUCGCCAUGUGCCCCAUGUUGGGAUUUCUUUCCAUCUCCUCCCCCCUGAACUCCCCUGAUGUGGCGGUUGAUUGGAGGCGGGAAACGCCGGGAGCCCUCGCCGACGUCUUCCUUGCUGGCAUUGCGGUGGCCACGGCAGGUGGCAUGCGAUCUCCAGGUCCGGGAUGCAGUAGAGGUCGGUCAGGCCGACACCAACUCGCCAUGGCACAAGGCGAAGGUAACCGUGCCAGCGGCGCCUUGCUCCGAGCCGACCGCUGAAGCCAGUGGAGGACCGACAGUGCUGGUUCUCCUAUUGCCGGCAAGAUCACAAACCUUCCAUCUCAAUCAGGUGAAGAAUCAUCUCCUCCUCAUCAAGAUUUAAUUUGUUAUCUCUUCAUGCAAUGAUGUGCUCGACAACCAUAUUCUUUAUGUUCAGGCCAUGGGCUGGAAUAGGUCAUGGUUUGUGGCAGGCAGCCUACAUCGAGCAUCAACGAAUUGCAACUUUGGCAUUUGUUUUAAUUCCCAGAUGAAGAUCCGUGCCCCUUCAUCAAGAUUCAGUUUAUUUUUGUUUGUUUCGUCCAUUAGUAGCACGAACCAACCUAGCAGGGCAAACAACUUUUUGGCUGGACAGAUACCUCCCUUUCUACUUCCCCGUCAAACCAUUGAUUCAUCAUAGUUGAUCCUUGCUUAGCUUCGUGCCGCUGUUGCUGAUCCAAUCAAUGUCAGGGAGCCGGUUCCUCUUCGAGCAGUGGAGAGAUUUCAUGCUCGAUGAGAGUUGUCGCAAAUUGAAUCAAGCGUACUCUCUUCAAACUCAACGAGCUCACUGUAUGUUCUUUGCAUGCUAGCAGUUUUCACCUCAUGAUUUUUCUUGCCUUCAUUAAGUAACAUGGAGUUGUUUAUGAAAUUAAACAUGACCUCUUCCUUGCUGUACUUUUUUCUGUAGUGGAUGAACCACUAAUUCGUGCUUCUCUAUAUGUUUUAGAUUCGGACCCUAAGAGAAAUUCUCAUACUUCUGUCUAAUUCUAGGACAUCUUCACACUUGUGGAUUCUGAUACGUCCAGGUUAGAAGACAGAUAUGCUUCAGUACCGAUGUUGAUCUACAAGUAAUUAGUUCUUUCAACAACAAAUGCAAUUGCUGACAUGGUAAAACAGGGACAUGCACUGGAACAUUGUAAAGAGGUCUCAUUGCUUCAGAUUUUCUUUCUUGGUAUCCUGUAAUUGGGGGCCACUUCUCAAUUAUUUUAUUAACAAAUUAAUUAGUAUGUGAA